rnacentral:rRNA from 1 species
ACGGUGAGUAACACGUAUCCAACCUGCCGUCUACUCUUGGACAGCCUUCUGAAAGGAAGAUUAAUACAAGAUGGCAUCAUGAGUCCGCAUGUUCACAUGAUUAAAGGUAUUCCGGUAGACGAUGGGGAUGCGUUCCAUUAGAUAGUAGGUGGGGUAACGGCCCACCUAGUCUUCGAUGGAUAGGGGUUCUGAGAGGAAGGUCCCCCACAUUGGAACUGAGACACGGUCCAA